rnacentral:snRNA from 1 species
CAAUUUGCGCUUGGGGCAAUGACGCAGCUAAUGAGGUACUAACCGAGGCGCGUCUAUUUCUGGUUGAAAACUAUUUCCAAACCCCCUCCUGGGCCUAAGCUUGUCUUGGUCGCUCGAGAAUUUCUGGAAGGUCUCUGAAAUGGAA